rnacentral:lncRNA from 1 species
AGGGAGAGAAAGAGAACGCGCCAGGGACUUCAGCUCACAGAAUCUCCCUUUUUCCUCCAUGCUACUCCACUACAAUGAUGUCACUACCCUCACAGAACAGACAGGGGGCUGUAGUUCAGAGAGGUGAACCGACUCACCCAAGGUGCCUCAGGAAGUAAAUGGCAGAGGUGAGAUUCCAGCCUCAAGAUCCCAUACAGUCUCUGAACAGAACUGACUGGGGUGUUCGUGUUGUCCAGCCCCCUGCCUCGCACCAGGCACGAAGAGAGCGCAUCCUCUAACAGGCGCCCCAGGAAAGAGCUCCCAGAAUAAUUGAAUAAUCCCAGACGAGUGUGAACAGCAGUCGAAGAGGUGUGUGGAGGAGGAACCCAAGUUGGCAACAUGCUGGAAUCUGUGGGGAACCAGGAUAUAGAAGACGUGGAUAUUGUCCUCAGGCAGAUCCAGGUUAAGAAUCUGAGCACCACAGAGGUGGGACAGAACGGCAACCUCCAAGUUGAAGGAACAUCAGCUCCAUGAGGCCAGAGAUGGCAUCUGCCUUGUUCUCUGCUGGGUCCCCAGUGCCAGACACAGGCAGUGCUCAGUGAAUAAUCAACUAACAGAUGGACAGAUGGACGGACAGAUGGAUAUGGAGUGACCCAAGCUCCAAACAUCCCAUCUGAGGGACAAUGUCCUACAGUCCCCGUCCCCUCCCAGGGAAAGCGUCCUCCUGUACUUUUACUGCUCUUGGAGAGGAAAAACAAGAUGUGAAUUGGAUUCAGG